UACGGAGGAUUCAAGCGUUAUCCGGAUUUAUUGGGUUUAAAGGGUGCGUAGGCGGUUUUUUAAGUUAGUGGUUAAACGUCGGGGCUUCACCUUGAUUUGCCAUUAAUACUGUAAGACUCGAGUUCAGACGAGGCAGGCGGAAUAAGUUAAGUAGCGGUGAAAUGCUUAGAUAUAACUUAGAACUCCGAUAGCGAAGGCAGCAUGCCGGCUCCACACUGACGCUGAGGCACGAAAGCGUGGGUAUCGAACAGG
rnacentral:rRNA from 1 species